rnacentral:rRNA from 1 species
AACGAACGCUGGCGGCAUGCCUAACACAUGCAAGUCGAACGAGACCUUCGGGUCUAGUGGCGCACGGGUGCGUAACGCGUGGGAAUCUGCCCUUGGGUUCGGAACAACAGUUGGAAACGACUGCUAAUACCGGAUGAUUACUUGGUCCAAAGAUUUAUCGCCCAAGGAUGAGCCCGCGUAGGAUUAGCUUGUUGGUGAGGUAAAAGCUCACCAAGGCGACGAUCCUUAGCUGGGCUGAGAGGAUGAUCAGCCACACUGGGACUGAGACACGGCCCAGACUCCUACGGGAGGCAGCAGUGGGGAAUAUUGGACAAUGGGCGAAAGCCUGAUCCAGCAAUGCCGCGUGAGUGAUGAAGGCCUUAGGGUUGUAAAGCUCUUUUACCCGGGAUGAUAAUGACAGUACCGGGAGAAUAAGCCCCGGCUAACCCCGUGCCAGCCGCCGCCGUAA